AGAGAGAUUCCUUCUUAAUUUAUACGUACGUAUAGUAUAUAGAAAUAUCGAAGACCCGUUAAUGAUUCCUAUGUGGUAUGUAUGUAUAUAGAGCUUUGUUGAACGUGCAAGCUGACCAAACAUGUAAAAUCUAAGAUGGCAGUAAUUAGACGGUUUAAAUUUUACCUUCAUCGAGAUAGGGGCUUACGAUUAUCCGAGAG
rnacentral:lncRNA from 1 species